rnacentral:misc_RNA from 1 species
GCAAACUUGGUCAUUUAGAGGAAGUAAAAGUCGUAACAAGGUCUCCGUUGGUGAACCAGCGGAGGGAUCAUUACUGAGUUCUAAACUCCAAACCUUUGUGAACUUACCACUGUUGCUUCGGCGGGUUCGUCCCGGGCGCGCCUCUGGCGUGACCCGGAAUCAGGCGCCCGCCGGGGGACCUAAACUCUUGUUUUCUAGAGAUUUUCUGAGUGGCAUAAGCAAAUAAAUCAAAACUUUCAGCAACGGAUCUCUUGGUUCUGGCAUCGAUGAAGAACGCAGC